GGAAGAGAAAUUCCCGAGGAUGGGGUAAUCGAGUAGUGAAGUCUCCUUAAUCUAACAGGUGGUUAACAUGCUCAACAAACUAUCCCUAGACAACAAGUUCAAUAACCAAAUCAAAGUGCUACCGCAACAGAGAUCCUCAAGCAAAGCUAGUCCCAGACUCAAUCACCAUUGACGAGAGCUAACUUAACAGGCAUUACGAAACAACAAGUCUAAGCCAAAACGCUCCCUGUAACCAAUACCUUGGUACAGAGCCAC
rnacentral:lncRNA from 1 species